GAUGAACGCUGGCGGCGUGCCUAAUACAUGCAAGUCGAGCGAACGGACGAGAAGCUUGCUUCUCUGAUGUUAUCGGCGGACGGGUGAGUAACACGUGGAUAACCUACCUAUAAGACUGGGAUAACUUCGGGAAACCGGAGCUAAUACCGGAUAAUAUUUUGAACCGCAUGGUUCAAAAGUGAAAGACGGUCUUGCUGUCACUUAUAGAUGGAUCCGCGCUGCAUUAGCUAGUUGGUAAGGUAACGGCUUACCAAGGCAACGAUGCAUAGCCGACCUGAGAGGGUGAUCGGCCACACUGGAACUGAGACACGGUACAGACUCCUACGGGAGGCAGCAGUAGGGAAUCUUCCGCAAUGGGCGAAAGCAUGACGGAGCAACGCCGCGUGAGUGAUGAAGGUCUUCGGAUCGUAAAACUCUGUUAUUAGGGAAGAACAUAUGUGUAAGUAACUGUGCACAUCUUGACGGUACCUAAUCAGAAAGCCACGGCUAACUACGUG
rnacentral:rRNA from 1 species